AAGUCAUCAACAACAAAGUUGUAUAACUCAUGAAGAUCUAUAAUUUUUAUUUUGGUCACUUCUUCAUCCAACAAAGUGAUAGUAACACUGUUUACAAAAUUGACAUAUCUGUGUUAUAGUUUUUAAACUAGUUGAGAGAUAUUUGAUUUUUGUGAAUAAUGUUACUAUCACUUUGUCGGAUGAAGAAAUAACCAAAAUAAAAGUUAUAGAUCUUGAUGAGUUAUGCAACUUUGUUGUUUAUGAGUU
rnacentral:pre_miRNA from 1 species